rnacentral:antisense_RNA from 1 species
ACGGAAUGGCCUGGCACGGUGACCACGGAGUGCCCUGGCACCGGUGCCCGCGGCUGUGACGGGAAAAGGGUGGGAAGAACAGGGAAGAGGAAGCAGAAACAGGCACUCCUUGAUGAAAUAAGUAAGAAAGCUUGUCAAGAGCCAUCACUCUUGCUCAUGGGACAAGAGAAGGCACUGACCUGUGCCCACCAGCACCCCAUCACUGAGCCAACACCACCUUCAGGAAGACAGUCUCCAUCAGGGCUUCCCCCAAUUCCCCUAGCUGCUUUGCCUCUGCUACUCCGGUAAGCACCUGCAGGGAAGCAGGCACCCCAGCACCCACUAGCAUUCUGCAACAGCUGUUGCACCUUGGCUCCCCCAGUACAGUGGAUUCCAAACCUCAAGGAGUCAAAGAACAGAUAGGGCCCAAUACAAAUUCCCCAGAAUUACAACAUGCCGUCCGGGAGUUGAGAGCUGAGUGUUGACCUUCUAAAAUCUCCCAGAAACAAAGCCAGGUGGCUGAAUCCACCUUAUAUUAUAGUCAAACCCUCAAGGUCAUCAAAUCAUCAAAUAGGAUAAGAGAAAAAAAAAUCCAAAGGUCAGCAACGUCCAAGAUUGAAGAUAGAUAAGCUCACAAAGAUGAGAAAGAGUCAGCACAGGAAAACUGAAAACUCGAAAAACCAGAGUGCCCUCUUUCCUACAAACAGCCACAUCACCUCUCCAGCAAAGGUUCUGAACUGAGCUGAGAUGGCCAAAAUGACAGAAAUAGAAUUCAGAAUAUGGAUAAGAAUG